rnacentral:lncRNA from 1 species
GGGGCCCAUAUUCAGAGACUAACUCUGCCAGCUCUGUGGUGAGAGGGAGCUGCCACCCCUUGAUCUGUUCAUCUGUAAUGAGGGAGUCUUACAAGCUUCACUCACCACAGUGAACUGUUGUAAGAGUUAAAGGGAGGUAUCUACAAAGCAUGCUGGGAAAUGAAAAGGCCUUUCUGUAGAACAAAGCAACAUUUUCAAGAUUCAUGAUUUAAGCCACAUUUCACUCCUGGGCAAAUGAAGUUGACUCUCUAUUUUUAAAGUUUGAAGAGGCAGGAGACAUGCUGUGUGAACUUCAUCUGCGUCUCCCACCAGAUGCUGUCUGCCACACAAACCAGCCAAGGAGGCCAUGCAGUGGACCAAUUAAACAGCAGUCGACUGAAUAAAUGAGAAAUGACUAGCUGAUGGGAGCAUGGAGGAGGAGGAGGAGGAGGUAACCAGAAGAGGGAGCACUUACAUCAACUCAUACUCAUGCUCCUUGGCUCACAGAAGGAACAGACCAACAGAUUCACGUGCUGAACACUUGGGAUGAAGCCACAAAUCCUGUAUGUUUCUCUAUUUCAUAGAAGAAGAAGGUUUUCAAGUACAAAGAGGCUUGCUGUCAAAGCAAUACAACCAGCUAGCUGACUGUUCAUUCUGCCAACCUGCCUUCCUUGCCGUGAUAUAAUAAAUCCUCAUGAAUUGCA